rnacentral:tRNA from 1 species
UAGAAUGAGGCUUGUUGGAUUGAGCAUUUAGCUGUUAACUAAAGUUUUGCGGGAUCGAAGCCUGUCUUUCUAG